UGCUUGCUGAUUUGUCAGUCCAGGGUACGGACAAACCCCUAAGCUGAAGGUCUCCCAGAGAAGGAUGCCAAAGCUCCACACGUCACUCUCUGAACUGUAUCUCCCUGGAAGGGGAACAACAACCAUAACCAGCCUACUAUUGCCCAGUCCUGAGUCACACUUUGGGAGACACAAUAGUGCUCCUGGCCUCUUCAUAGAUGAAACUGCUAGAGAAUAAUCAGCAUGAGCCUCUGUGUUACAGACUGCAAAUCCUAUAGGAAUUCGGAGCAGAGGGAGAUCCCACUGGAGGCUUGGAUGCCUCAACCACUGAGUCCGUUUACUAUACUGGAGUAAGGUUCCUCUCUACGGAGAAACAGAGGCCUGCGGUGAUUCCCUUUAAUGAGGUUGCUGCCUGAUGGCUGGGACACAAAACAACCAAGUUGUUGCCUGACAAGAUGACUGAAUGGGAACCACUUAUGAAAAAUACUGUAAGUCAUCUGGCUUUCCUUAUAAUGGCCAUGCUCAGCACAGAGAAGUAUUUGCUUUGUGUCUCAUUUCCUUGGGUGACUUCCCUAUAAGAGAAUUCUGGUUGGACAUGUACAAGUGCAAAUUCCACAUAUUCUUUUCUUUAAGCUUAGAAAUCAUAUUCCUAGAUAGUUAAAGAAAGGGAACUCAUACUAAAUAUGAAUGUUGAAGAUAACUUGGAACCAAAUACAUAGUGAUAAAGCUUGUCUUAAAUUUACCCCCUAAAACCCAAGGGGACCUUUCUUUGCAUUUAAUUACUGUGAUUAAUCUGGAUGGUUUAUAGUUUAUGAAAUGGCUGCAAAAUUUGUAUAAUCAGAUAUAAAUCUCUCUCAAUGUUUUCUGCUCCCUAUCACCUGUGGACCACAUUGUGAAGUGAGAUACCAAAUCUCCAGAGACUACCUCUGGGCACAAAUUUUAAAUCGGUAAUGAUCUAUUGUGAAACCUCUUAAUAAAGAUUCUGGACUAGAGCAACUUGGUGGGGGUACAGAUUAAAAACAUUUAAGUAAAUGUUUUAAUCUUUUCAGUUCACGAAAACAUCAAAUAUCACUGGGUAAUUUAAUAACAAAAUUGAGCUUUGUCUUAAGCAAACAAAUUAAAGGCCAUUAGCUGUCCAAGGCUACAAUAAAAUGCACUGCAGGGACUUGGCUCAGAAGUUAGCCUCAGUAUUGAUGGUGAGAGCCUCUACUCCUAAAAACCUUCUGAAAUAUCCACCCACUCCCAUUCUGAGACUAUGAAGUACAAACAGAAGCUACUUGCCUGAAUGGCAAAUAACAUAACAUAAAAUGUUAUACUUGGAUGCAAUAAGUUACUCUGAGCAACAGACAGAAAAAAGUGACAAAACCCCUCCUUAUUGAAUAGCCAUCAUGAUAAUAGUUAUCAUUUAUUGAGUGCCUUAUAUGUACCAGAUACUAUUUGAAAUGUCUUUUAUAUAACCUAUGCUCUUUCAGUACUCAACUUCAUGCAUACUAAGCUGUACACUAAACACUUCCACAGAUUUUUUUGCAUAAGCAAUGAUGCAAACAUUUGCAUUGUUGGAAGUUCUGGACUAGGGAUUAUAAGAGUUCUCACCUGGUGUUUUCUUUAAUAAGCUGUAUAAGCUUAUAUAUUACACAUUUUCCUGGACCUUGGAAAUGAGAGCACCAGUUCUUGAUUUCUUGAGCAUGAGGGCUACUGAGUAAUGUCAAACAAUUUUAUGAUUCCUUUGCACUGCACAUCAAUCCUGAUGUCACGUUUUAUAAUGGCUGACAGCAAAAAUACAACAUGAUGAAAAGCUACUAAGAAUGACAAUGUUUUGAAGUGAAUUUAUACUAAUCACAACAGUAAAAGGAUAUUGCAUAUAGAUAGAUAUAUGCAAGACAUUUUUCUGCAUCAGAUGAUGCUUGAUGCACACUUGGAACACUUGCAAUAAUUUGGAGGAACUAGGGGUCCAUGGUGCACCAGCUGGUGGCCAGUAUACAACCCUUUCAAUUCUAACAUUUAUACUCCAGGUUAAAGGUAUUGUCUUCCUGAAACUAGCCAGAUGAAUCUAGCCUCACAGAGGUGGUGGAUGGUCCUGGCAAAGAGCUUUCCAUGUUGUCAGUACAACAGUGGGUGUCAGCUAACAAAUGCAAGUCACAUUCAAAGGGUUAAGUUAGAAGAGUUCCACUACCCAGGAGCUCAGCUAUCACAAUGCAGGUAUCCCCUCACUUGCCUUUGCUAAAUAACUGUGGGUUACAACCAAGAAAUCAUACUUCCCAACCCUAUAAAAAUAUUGGUAAUCAUUGGAAGACACCUGUUAUGUAUCAGGCACAAUGCUAGGAACUUAACCUAUUAUCCCUAAUCCUAACAAUCACACUCAGAGACAUAGAUGUCUUUAUAUAUGGAUACAGAAACAGGCUCAAAAAUUAAAUAGCCUGCCCAAGAUCACAUAGCUCGUAAGUGGCUGAGUAUGGGAUCUGUCUUGCUCCAAAGCCCUGGUUCUUUAUUUUCCACAGUGUUGAGUGUUCUUUUGGUUUCUUUGAAAUAGUAUUCAUUUUAUCUUGAUACAGUUAUACUCUUUAAUCCCUGAGUAGGUUUCUGCCAUUUUGUUCCUGAGAACUGUUUUCUUUUCCAUUUAAGUUUAGUGAAAUAAAGCCCCUGACUUGGUGCUUAGGCUAUGGAAUAUAUUGGAAGGACUAAAACAGGCAUUAUUUUUUCUACUCUAUUUUCUAUAAGAGCAUAUAACAAUUCCUCCGUAAUUUGUUAUGGUUUAUAAUUUCAUGAAGUGAUAUAGUCACACUAAGACCUAAAUUAUGAUAUAAAAGGCACAUAAAGGUAGAGAGCAACUGUGUAAUCUGUGAUGCACAAGGUGCUAUAAGGAGCCUCAGGAUCAUUUAAAUUUUUAUAGUCUGCAAAAUGUUCAGCUACUAAUGAACAAAUACACUCAAUUACAGUAGAAUGCACCUAGAUUUAGAUGCUGAAUGAUCUGCAGUGAUUAACUCUUUGUAGUAUUUUCUUCAAUAAUGGGCUGUGUCCCCGAAAUUCUCCCAACCAGACAGAGCUACAUGGUCAGCUUGCACAUUUACCACUGGUUUGGGAAUGUUUAACUGACUCCUAGGCCACACUCCUGAGUGGCAGAUGGCAAAUUCCUCAUCUGACAUAUCAUCACAAAAAGCAUUUUUAGAAUAGUUUUGGUCCCUGUAUACAAAGGGGAAACAUAUUUAUUGUAGCACCAGUAUUCCGUUAAUGGAAAACAGUUUUCAAUAUUUAUAGAAAUUCAAAAGAUGCAAUGAUUUUCUUUUAUG